GGGCCUGUGGCUUAGCCAGGAUAUAGCGCCGGGCUUCUAACCCGGACGUCGAGGGUUCAAAUCCCUCCAGGCCCG
rnacentral:tRNA from 2 species